CUCCAGACUCCUACGGGAGGCAGCAGUGGGGAAUAUUGCACAAUGGGGGGAACCCUGAUGCAGCGACGCCGCGUGGGUGAAGGAGUAUUUCGGUAUGUAAAGCCCUAUCAGCAGGGAAGAACAAUGACGGUACCUGACUAAGAAGCACCGGCUAAAUACGUGCCAGCAGCCGCGGUAAUACGUAUGGUGCAAGCGUUAUCCGGAUUUACUGGGUGUAAAGGGAGCGCAGGCGGCGCGUUAAGCCUGGUGUGAAAGCCCGCGGCCCAACCGCGGGACUGCAUUGGGAACUGGCGCGCUGGAGUGCCGGAGGGGUAGGCGGAAUUCCUAGUGUAGCGGUGAAAUGCGUAGAUAUUAGGAGGAACACCAGUGGCGAAGGCGGCCUGCUGGGCUUUUACUGCCGCUGAGGCUCGAAAGUGUGGGGAGCAAACAGGAUUAGAUACCCUAGUACU
rnacentral:rRNA from 1 species